UUUUGAUGACUAGGCUUUGUAUUGGAUCCAAGUAAUUAAAACGACAGAUGAGAUAGGUCAAUUUUCCACCUGAUAACGUAACCACCAACGUUAACGGUUAUCUAAACAAUCUACACUUAGAUAUUCUCGAUCUUUCAUCCUAACCUACGAAUCUUUCAAAAACAACACACAUGUACACCCUAUUCUAACACAACCCUCUCCGC
rnacentral:lncRNA from 1 species